rnacentral:rRNA from 1 species
AGGAGACGGAGAGGAGAGGAGAGAGGGGAUAAUUUCUGUGCGCUCCGGCUCGACGGACGGUGGUGCGCGACGAGCGCCGGCCUAACCACGGUGCGUGUCCGUGUCUCUCUCUUCGCUCCGCCCCGCCGCCUCACCGAGCUCAGCAGAAGGCGAGGAGGAGCAGGAGGAGGGUGCGCGUUGCCUAGCCCCCUAAGCCGGCGAAGAUGGCCGCAACGGACCUUACCUAAGAGGCCGCGGGUUACGGCGGUUGGGCGGCGGCCGCCGCCGACUCGGUCGUUGCGUCGGCGCCGCCGACGGUCUGAAGGAGGUCAGCCACGCCGAGUUCAUGCACUUCGACCCCAUGGUGGUGGAGUAGAGGGUGCCGUGCAUGGACGACGACAGCGGCGAGUACCGGGACCACCGGCACGUCGAGAGGUGGCACAGGGGCCCGCUGGAGCGGCUGGACACCCUCGUCGAGGCCAAGUUGGAGCAGAGGCACGAGCAGACGAGGUGGGAGGAGCAGAAGGAGAGGUGGCAGAUGAAGGAGUGGGCGGGGGCGGGGCAGAUGGAGCAGCUGAAGCGGACGAUGUUCGGCCUCGGCCUCGCGGCCACGUGCGCGGUCUGGAAGUACGCGACGAGGCUCCGGUGGCCCAGGAAGUGGCUGCGGUUGGAGCUGAAGGUCGCGUUCUAGGAGCUCGCCAGCCCCGACCCGCUCCUGUGGAUGGACGGGGGGCGGCACGACGCCCACGGGGGGUUGGGCACGUACCUGCUCCGCGCGUUCCUCCGGUCGUGGCAGUACAAGCCGCGGUAGCUGGUCGACGACCUCUUCUGGCCCCACUCCGGGUUCCUGUAGCCGUAGGACCAGCAGUUGACGUCGGACAAGUUGGGCUGCGGCAGCGACAGCCGGUACCACCACUUGGUAAUGUCCGACUCCCCGUUGCAGCACUCGAUGUUGGACCCGCCCUACCCGACGUCGCGGCCCGACGACAGUUAGCUGGAGCGGUUCCUGGACGACGUCCACGUGGGGUUGAGCAUGCGCGACCACUAGUCGUACCUCUUGUAGUGGGAGUUGACCAUGAAGCCCUUGCUGGCCAGGUACGACCACAGGUUGACGGACAAGGCCUACCCGCCGCGCCGCUAGGACGAGAGGUUGGCCGCCCGGCUGGCCGCCGCCAGGUUCAUGCUCGACCACGUGUGCCACGCGUGGGUGUUCCCGCGCCUGCUGUCCACGAAGCCGACGCACUGCGUCGUCCUCCUGAGCCGGCCGUUCCACCCGCACAGCGAGAGGUUCCUGGACUACCGCCACCGACCGCUGCGCGAGUUCUGGUUGUAGUGCUGGGAGCCGGGCGACCACGAGGGCGACAGCCUCGUCGACGACAAGUACCGGUGGAACCAGCGGUUCUUCCGCAAGUUCCACUUCUAGUUCGGGAUGUAGGGCCUGAAGUUCGACCGCAAGCUCGUGAAGACGUAGGUGCGCCCGCCCGCGCGGCACGACUUGCUCGACCUCUUCUUGGACCCCGACUGCCUCACCGUGUACCUCGGCAGCGCCUACUGCGACAUGGCCAAGCCGUUGUGCAGCUCGUCGAGCGACACCAUGCUCGACCGGAUGUCGCUCCGGUUCCCGGCGUAGCCCGCCGCGCUGUCCCAGACCGUCUAGCGGAAGCCGAGGCCCAAGUUCACGUUGUCGCGGCACACCUCCCGCGACGCGCGCCACCGCGGCCUCCGCCUCCGCUCGUUGGGCACCCGCCUGCUCUAGCUGGCGAAGGGGCAGCUCCAAGGGUCCCAGAGGUCCCAACCGUUGCGUACUAGAACAGGCCCGACCGUUGGAAUUAACUAACCCACUAGCGGUAACGGUAGAGGACCAAGUUAUGGGAACCCGCCGGAACCGUUGCACGUACUAACCCGACAACAAAACUCAACAUCACCGUUCGUAGACACCACCCCCCGCGGAUCCUAUUUGAAAUCCACUAAGCUACUAGUCCGCCCUCACCACUAACCUACCCCUUUCUUUAGGCGCAAAGUACACUCUAAGGCAAACAAAAUUGCACUAAUCCUAGGUAGUAAAGACCCAGUCAGGUUCGAAAGAAGAGUGAAUGCAACAGGUGAGGUCCGGCCUUGCCUAACUAAGGUAGUCAGAUAGUAGUACGCCCACACCCCCACGUCGUAAUAUACGGGAGACGCAUGCACGACCACGACCUAAACGAGCUGACGAGCGAGGAGCGGAGGACCGGCAGACAGAAUAGACAGCGCAUUACGCUACCACGGUUACAAAUUCGACGGACGGGCGGGACCUAGUAAGGUUCGGCGGCCACCAAUUCGGACCGAUCGAGGGCCAACGACGUGGGAGUUCGAAGAUUAUUGUUGUUGGUUUUCCACGGUAAUGCCUAUUUCUACACCUAACACGAAGGCAGGGGUCACACCAGCAACAAUGACGGUGAACAUAGAAAAGUAACAUGAAACAUAGUAUAAAAUGAAAAUAAUUGCUUUUAUGGUAUCUUGUUAUCAAGAUACCAGUCCCGAUUUUUUUUCUGUGAAACUGUCCCAAGUCUUUACGCAAGGCCUGAUGCUUGGGUGGGUCUGUCACCAACAACCCAGUACAAAGAUGGUAUUAAAUAACGAGGCCGCUAGAUUUGCGAGAAUAUAAAGAAAUGCCUGGACCGAAUGUAACAAUGCCG